rnacentral:rRNA from 1 species
GUGGAUCAGUGGCGAACGGGUGAGUAACACGUGAGCAACCUGCCCUCCACUUCGGGAUAAGCCUUGGAAACGGGGUCUAAUACCGGAUAUGAGCACUCAUCGCAUGGUGGGUGUUGGAAAGUUUUUCGGUGGGGGAUGGGCUCGCGGCCUAUCAGCUUGUUGGUGGGGUGAUGGCCUACCAAGGCUUCGACGGGUAGCCGGCCUGAGAGGGCGACCGGCCACACUGGGACUGAGACACGGCCCAGACUCCUACGGGAGGCAGCAGUGGGGAAUAUUGCACAAUGGGCGAAAGCCUGAUGCAGCGACGCCGCGUGAGGGAUGACGGCCUUCGGGUUGUAAACCUCUUUCAGCAGGGAAGAAGCGCAAGUGACGGUACCUGCAGAAGAAGCGCCGGCUAACUACGUGCCAGCAGCCGCGGUAAUACGUAGGGCGCAAGCGUUGUCCGGAAUUAUUGGGCGUAAAGAGCUCGUAGGCGGUCUGUCGCGUCUGGUGUGAAAUCCCGAGGCUCAACCUCGGGCUUGCAUCGGGUACGGGCAGACUAGAGUGCGGUAGGGGAGACUGGAAUUCCUGGUGUAGCGGUGGAAUGCGCAGAUAUCAGGAGGAACACCGAUGGCGAAGGCAGGUCUCUGAGCCGCAACUGACGCUGAGGAGCGAAAGCAUG